UCAUAGCGGRGSRRRARRAACUAACARGGAUUCCCCUAGUAACUGCGAGUGAAGCGGGAAAAGCUCAAAUUUAAAAUCUGGCGACCUUUGGCCGUCCGAGUUGUAAUCUAGAGAAGUGUUAUCCGCGCUGGACCGUGUACAAGUCUCCUGGAAUGGAGCGUCAUAGAGGGUGAGAAUCCCGUCUUUGACACGGACUGCCAGGGCUUUGUGAUGCGCUCUCAAAGAGUCGAGUUGUUUGGGAAUGCAGCUCAAAAUGGGUGGUAAAUUCCAUCUAAAGCUAAAUAUUGGCGAGAGACCGAUAGCGAACAAGUACCGUGAGGGAAAGAUGAAAAGAACUUUGGAAAGAGAGUUAAACAGUACGUGAAAUUGCUGAAAGGGAAACGCUUGAAGUCAGUCGCGUUGUUUGGGAAUCAACCUUGCUUUUGCUGGGCGUACUUUCCAGAUGACGGGCCAGCAUCAAUUUUGACCGUUGGAUAAAGAUUGGAGGAAUGUGGCAUCUUCGGAUGUGUUAUAACCUUCAGUUGCAUACAACGGUUGGGAUUGAGGAACUCAGCACGCCGCAAGGCCGGGUACUCGUACCACGUUCGUGCUUAGGAUGCUGGCAUAAUGGCUUUAAUCGACCCGUCUUGAAACACGGACCAAGGAGUCUAACAUGCCUGCGAGUAUUUGGGUGGAAAACCCGAGUGCGUAAUGAAAGUGAAAGUUGAGAUCCCUGUCGCGGGGAGCAUCGACGCCCGGACCAGACCUUUUGUGACGGAUCUGCGGUAAAGCAUGUAUGUUGGGACCCGAAAGAUGGUGAACUAUGCCUGAAUAGGGKGAAGCCAGAGGAAACUCUGGUGGAGGCUCGUAGCGAUUCUGACGUGCAAAUCGAUCGUCAAAUUUGGGUAUAGGGGCGAAAGACUAUCGAACCUUUUGGUCC
rnacentral:rRNA from 1 species